rnacentral:rRNA from 1 species
GACGAACGCUGGCGGCGUGCUUAACACAUGCAAGUCGAACGGAAAGGCCCCUUUGGGGGUACUCGAGUGGCGAACGGGUGAGUAACACGUGAGUAACCUGCCCUUGACUUCGGGAUAACUUCAGGAAACUGGGGCUAAUACCGGCUAGGAAUCCUUGCUGCAUGGUGGGGGUUGGAAAGCUUCGGCGGUUUUGGAUGGACUCGCGGCUUAUCAGCUUGUUGGUGGGGUAGUGGCUUACCAAGGCUUUGACGGGUAGCCGGCCUGAGAGGGCGACCGGCCAAAUUGGGACUGAGAUACGGCCCAGACUCCUAAGGGAGGGAGCAGUGGGGAAUAUUGCACAAUGGGCGGAAGCCUGAUGCAGCAACGCCGCGGGCGGGAUGACGGCCUUCGGGUUGUAAACCGCUUUCAGCAGGGGCGAAGCUUGUGGUGACGGUACCUGCAGAAGAAGCACCGGCUAACUACGUG